rnacentral:rRNA from 1 species
GCGAUGCGGCGUCUAUACAUGCAGUCGAGCGAACAGAGAGGAGCUUGCUCCUUUGACGUUAGCGGCGGACGGGUGAGUAACACGUGGGCAACCUACCUUAUAGUUUGGGAUAACUCCGGGAAACCGGGGCUAAUACCGAAUAAUCUAUUUCACUUCAUGGUGAAAUACUGAAAGACGGCUUCUCCUUGUCCCUUUAAAAUGGGCCCGCGGCGCAUUACCUAGUUGGGGAGGUAACGGUUCACCAAGGCAACAAUGCGUACCCAACCUGAAAGGGGGAUCGGCCCCCCGGGGACUGAAACCCGGCCCAAACUCCUACGGAAGGCAGCAUUAGGGAAUCUUCCACAAGGGGCAAAACCCUGAUGGACCACCCCCGCGGGAUUGAAAAAGGUUUUCGAAUCGUAAAACUCUGUUGUAAGGAAAAACCAAUUCCAGUAUUAACUGGUUGUACCUUGACGGUCCCUUAUUAGAAAGCCACGGCUAACUACGUGCAACCACCGGCGGUAAUACGUAGGUGGCAGCGUUGUCGGGAUUAUUGGGCGUAAAGCGCGCGCAGCGGUCCUUAAGUCUGAUGUGAAAGCCCAGGCUCAACCGUGGAGGGUCAUUGAAACUGGGGGGACUUGAGUGCAGAAGAGAAAGUGGAUUCCAGUGUAGCGGUGAAAUGCGUAGAGAUUUGAAGGACCACCAGUGCCGAGGCGACUUUCUGUCUGUAACUGACGCUGAGGCGCGAAAGCGUGGGAGCCAACAGGAUUAGA